GCCUAUGCAGCCAUGCUUGACACGGGAAACUUCGUGGUAGCAAGCCAAGCUGGUGCCAAUUUGUGGCAGAGUUUUGAUGAACCAACAGACACACUGUUGCCCACACAAAAUCUGAAUUUAGGUGCUCAACUAAUUGCUCCCUACCUGGAAAAGAAUUAUUCAGAUGGAAGAUUCAAGUUCAUUCUACAAGCUGACGGGAAUCUCUUACUGUACACAACACGUUAUCCAACAACUACCUCAAAUGUUGCUUAUUGGUCUACCCAAAGUUCUAUUGGAAGCGGUUAUAGGGUGGUCUUUAACCAGUCUGGCUAUAUGUACCUUGUAGCUAGAGAUGGCAGCAUGCUUAAUUCGGUAUUCUCUAAUUCAGUAUCAAUGCAAGAUUUCUACUUGAGGGUAACCAUAGACUAUGAUGGAGUUUUUAGGCAAUAUGCUUAUCCAAAGACUGCUUCCAGUAGCAGAAGGUGGGCUAUGGCCUGGACGACUUUGCCAAACUUCAUACCCUCAAAUAUCUGCGUCGUAAUUAGGGGACCAGUAGGCAGUGGAGCUUGCGGUUUCAACAGUUAUUGCAUUUUAGGAGAUGACCAAAGACCAAGAUGCAAGUGUCCUCCUGGUUACACUUUCUUUGAUCCAAAUGAUGAGAGGAAGGGAUGCAAGAAAAACUUUAUUUCACAGGAUUGUGACCAUCCAUCGCAAGAAAUAGAUAACUUUAUGAUCAGGGAUAUGCUUAACACAAACUUUCCAUAUACUGAUUAUGAUGAUUUUACUUCAGUGGACGAGGAUUGGUGCAGACAAGCUUGCUUGAGUGACUGCUAUUGUGCUGUUGCCACUUAUAACAGUGGAAGCUGUUGGAAGAAGAGAGGCCCUCUCUCGAAUGGGUAACAGAUCCAACAGUGGCGGAGCCACGUAGGGAUAAAAGGGGGCAAUUGCCCCUUAAUUUUUUUAAUAUUAGGAAAUUAAUAUAAUAGGUUGAUAGAGUUUGAUACAUGGAAAAGUAAAAAAAAUGAAAAGUUAUAGUUGAAUUAUAUUUUAAUAUAAUAUAUAUAACAGCUCAUGACUCAAAAUUUUUAUGUACAGCUUAUUUACUCAAUUUUUUUUUCUUUCACUAAUUAACAUAGAGCUUCCUUAUAUUUUGAUUUGUUAUUGAAUGCCUCUCUCACUUUCACAAAUUUAUCUUUUUUUUUAUGAGGUAAUUUCUUUUUGUUUUUAAUUUAUUUCUUUAUCUAAUUUAGUUAUAUCUUUUAUAAUUAGUCAUUAAAAACAUUAGGGUUAUAAUAAUUUAAGGGUUUUGAUAUGAAUGUAUCAAAAUAAAUGUUUGAAUUUACUAAUUUAAUUAAUUAAAUAUUUCCUUUUUUAUUAUAAAUGAAUAAAUUAAUAUUCAUACAAAACCACUAUUUUAACAUCUCCGUGUAUUUAUAGAGUAUAUUAAAAAUUAUUUAACCGAGAUCUCUUAAUUCAAUAUAAAAUGGAUUAAUUAUUAAUUGACGUCUCUUAAUUACAAUGUACAUAUAUUGAUUGUCAUUUAUAUUACAUAUUUGUUUGUAAUUAAUUGUUAAUGAGAUGCUUGGAGUUAGGAGAGGCAUGAGUUUAAAUUCUAUAAGCUAUAAUUUCUCUCUCUCGACAUUUCUCUUAUUGAAACUAGAAUAUAGUAUUAAAACUUGUUUCAUAUAUUGACUUGGUGAGUUUAUAUAACUUUCGUGUGUGUUUAUAAAUAAUUUAAAUAUCUAGAAAUGAUUAAGUAUAAUUUAAUCAAUAUACUUAUUAUAUGCAUAUAGUUAUGAAUUGAUGUGUAUUUUGUUAUGAAUUUCAUAGAAAGAUCUAGAAUUAUUGAAUAACUCAACUGACUAUUGUUUAACAACGAAUUAUGUGUAGUUGUGUUAAUUAUUAUGUAGAUACUAAAUAAUAAAAAAAAACCAGCAUAUUCAUAAAUAAAAUUAACAUAUACUAGACAAGUAUUUCAAGUGUAAAUACCUUAAAGAUAAAAAUUAUUUAAAAUUUUAAGUUAUGUAACUCAAUCUACUUCGAAGAAAAGUUAUAUUAAAAAGUCAUAAUAAUAUUUCUUAUUAAUUGCCCCUCAUCUUAAAAAUUUUGGCUCCGCUACUGAGAUCCAAGUAUUGGUGAUAAAGCCCUGAUGAAAGUAAGGAAAGGCAACUGGACUGCGGGUUCAAGUGCAAAGAAGAGUGAUCGAUCAACUUUGAUCACAACAGGAUCGGUGUUUUAGGUAGCUCCAUCUUUCUAAUGUUCUCUUCUGCUAGGAAUCUACGUGUUCUUACUCGAUGGAACCAACAAAAACAAAAGAUGGUACCCGCAACCAUGUCAUGCCAGAAAUGAAUCUGCAGAAUUUUACAUACAAAGACUGGAAACAGCUACAGGAGGAUUCAAGGAAGAACUCGGUAGGAGUGCUUUUGGAAUUGGUUUACAGGGGCACUAGCCAACGAAGACAAACCGCUCAUCGCAGUAAAAGAAAUUAGCAAAGAUGGCCGGGGAGGGCGACACAGAAUUCAAUACAGAAGUGAAAGUUAUUGGCAGAACAAAUCACAGAAUCUGGUUCAACUGUUGGAUUCUGUAACGAAGGCAACACCGCCUUCUGGUCUACGAGUACAUGAACAGUGGCUCCUUGUCCAACUACAUAUUUGGAUAUUCAAGGCUUAGUUGGCACCGAAGAAUGCAAAUUGCUUUCGGUGUAGCCAGAGGGCUCCUUUACCUCCAUGAAGAAUGCAGCUCCCAGAUAAUCCAUUGUGAUAUCAAGCCUCAAAAUAUCCUCCUCGACGAAUCUCUUAACGCCAGGAUUUCAUAUUUCGGACUAGCCAAGCUGUUGAAGACGGACCAAACCAAAACAACAACAGCAAUCAGGGUACGAUAGGGUAUGUAGCUCCUGAAUGGUAACAGAGAACCUGCCAGUGACAACCAAAGAAUACCUACAGCUUUGGCAUUCUCUUGCUGAGCUAGUUGCUGCAGAAAGAACUUUGAGAUAAUGCAAUGCAAGAACAUCAGAUAGUUCUUGCAGACUGGGCAUGUUGAUUGCCUUAAAGAAGGAAAGUUGAAACCUUUUAGUAGAAGAAGAUGAAGAGGCAAUGGAAGACAUGAAAAGGUAGAGAGGUUGUGAUGGUUGCAAUUUGGUGCAUUCAGGAGGAACCAUCUUUAAGACCUGGAAUGAAAAAGUUUGUGCAGAUGUUAGAAGGAGGUGUUCAAGUCUCUGUCCUCCUGAUCCUUCAUCAUUUAUCAGCACAAUUUAAAUCCUUUUAUACCUAUCUACCUUGUAUUGAAUAAUCUGUAGUUCCUAUAAUUCAGGCAUCAUGUGUUAGACCUUGCACAAUAAGACUUAAAAUGCAUGUUUUCAAUUAUUAUUUUUUCUUUUCCAUGUUCACGAGUAAAAAGUUAAAUAAAAGAUUUAAAAUGAAUAUAAAGGUAAGCUUGUAUACCUCAGUUAUUAAGAAUGCCGAGAAAAAAAUUUCCAAGAUCAUAUAUCUCAGUUACUAAACCCAACUUAAUUCAAUUAAUUGAGUUGAAACACAACUACCUUGACUCGAUUUUCAUAAUAAAAAAUUUUGUUUGUGUUAUUAAAUUAACUUUACAGAUCAAUUCUCAAACUUAUUAAAACCUCGUUAUAAUAUAUAUAUAAUUUUGUUCUUUAAAAAAAUAUUGUUUAAAUUUUUUUAAAUAAUGUUUUAAAAUUUAUUAAAAUAAUUUAAAUUAACCUAUCUAAUCUUUAACAUACCUUGGCUGGGUUCGGCUUCAGUGUAUUUGGUAUUGUGGUUACUUUUGUCGUUGUGGUUGAAAAAAAUUAUUUUAUAAAAAAUACUUUUGGUUGAGGUUGUUUUGGUAUUUUUAUAUGUUUGGUUAAAACUGUGAUUGAAAUUAAGGUUGAACAAAAAAAUUUAAUGUGUUUAGUUAGAAUGUUUUCAAACUGAGAUUAUAAAAUAAUUAAAAAAAUAUAUAUUAAUAUAUGGUUAUUAAUUUAAAUAUUGUAGAUUUAACUACUGCUAUUACAUUAUGAAAUAAAAACUUUAUAUAAAAUAUUUUUUAUUGUUCCAUUAAACUAUCUACAAUUCAAUCACGUGUGAAAUCCAUGACAAGGACUAUAGUUUGCUUAGUUUCUUAAGAGUGCAACAACAUCAUAUAAAAUAUCAUCGGGAAUAAAAUUGGGCUUGCGAUCAAAUCUACAAAUGCUACGUCAUUAAACGAUCUCAUAAUUUAUGUAGUGUCAUUGAAUACUGUUAAAUACUAGUUUUUCGAAUAAAACACAAUUAAAAUUAAAAAAAAUUAAUUUUUUUUUAUUUUACUUGAUCGGACCCGGUUCAAAGUAUUUAUUUUUGAACUAGACCUGGUUCGAUCAGAACAAUGGAAAUACUCUCCAAUGUUCACUCUCCACAAGAGAAUAAGAAAAGAAACUUCGAGUUGCUUUAGUGGCACUGUAUUUCAAAUAUAAAUAGUGGGUCCCAUAAAUAAUAAAUAUUUUAUUAAUUAUUAAACAAUUAUUUCUAUAAUUUAUUUUAAAAACAAAAGCAACUUCAUAAAAAUUAAGUUUUUAAUAUCUUUGAUAUGAAUGGUAAACAUCUUGAGAAAUUUAGUAAUUGCAUACAAAAGUUGACCAGUCCAUAUAAUAAUGAUAGGUAAAAAAGGUUCAUUGUGGCGUAAAAGACAAUUUAGACCAAUAUAAAUGACUAGUCGUUGCAUUUGUUUGGAUUGACUCGUGUGUUAAUUGUACCUUGCACAUUAAAGUUUCAUGCACUAUUUUUUUUUUUCCAUAUUAAAGAGUAACAAGUAAAAUAUAUUUAUUAGCAUCAAGCAAAAAGGUUUAUAAUUUAUUCUUCCACAUCAUUUAAUUUAAAUAAAAUGUUUUGAAUCUCUCUCUCUCUCUCUCUCUAAUUCUUGAUACAUUCUUGAUAUAUUUAUGACCUUGCACUUGUUAACCUUUCAAUAAUAAUAAGGCUAUUAGAGUUCUCACCUCCUCUUAAAGAGGACCUUUACAGCCUUGUGAGGGUAUGCUGAAUUCUCUCCCAAUUAUUGAUACAUUCUUGUUUAAUGAAGUUGAACCAAACAUAGCACGGUUGUCAUCUUGCAUCUUAAAUAGCUAGUUGUGAAGAUUGCAGAAAUGAAAGAAAGUUUAAGAAGAGAAAUGAGAAAUGCAGAAAGGGACAGAGUGAUUAACGAAGAAGAUUUCAAACACUGUAUUCUUAGUUGCAUUUGUUAUCUCAUUGGAGAUGUAUUUAUAGCUAAUCUAUAGACGUAAGAUAGCUUCUUCUUCAAUGCUAACAACUUGUAUAACGGUAUUGCUAACCGUUUCUAACUGCCUAACAGAUUUAACUACUUAAUAGAAUAUUAACCACUUCAUUGCAUGAUCUCUUGACAUGUGGCAGCAUCUUGAUCGUUGAUAUCUUUACAUUCCCCCGCAAUCGUAUGCAUGGAAGAACCAAGCAUAAGAUUGGAGCAAUGCUGACGAAAAAUGGAGAAGAAAGUCCUUUAGUAAGGAUAUCAGCAAACUGAUCAUUUGAAGAAACAUGUUGAACAAGCAAGUCACCGUUGAUGACACGUUCUCUAACAAAGUGGUAGUCAAUCUGGAGAUGCUUCAUCCGAGAAUGAAAUACUUGAUUGGAAGCUAGAGAAAGAGCAGAGAUGUUAUCGCAAUGAAUUAAAGGCGGAAUAAGUAAGGGAAUAUGCAUAUCACAGAAGAGCUGUCGAAUCCAUGUCAGCUCAGCAGCAGUAAUAGCAAGAGCUCGAUAUUCAGCUUCAGCAGACGAGCGUGAGACUGUAUGCUACUUCUUGGAAGCCCAUGAAAUAGGACUAGAUCCCAGAUAAACAACAAAACCUGAAACAGAACGACGAUCAUUGGGAUCACCAGCCCAAUCAGCAUCACUGUAUGCUUGCAAGUUAAGGGUGCCAGGCUGAAGAUGUAUUCCAUAAUCAAGAGUGCCCUUGAGAUAUCUCAGAAUGCGUUUGACUGCAACAACAUGAGAUUCCAUGGGAUGAUGCAUGAAUUGGCAAGCUUGAUUGACAGAGAAGGCAAUGUCAGGACGUGUGAAGGUGAGAUAUUGUAAAGCUCCAACAAUACUCCUGUACUGUUGUGGACAAGAGUAAGGCUUCCCAUCAUCCUUGAGUAGGUGAUGAUAGGGAAGACAAGGAGUGGCAGAUGGCUUUGAAUUGUGCAAAUCAACCCGAUCAAGUAAGUCCUUGAUAUAAUUAGCUUGAGAGACAAACAAGCCAGAGGAAGAAUAGGAAACCUGCAGUCCCAGGAAGUAUGUCAACGGGCCUAAAUCCUUCAUAUCAAAUUCUUGAGUUAAUGCAGCAAUGAUAGAUGUAAGAAGAGAUGGAUGACUGCCCGUGAGAAGAAUGUCAUCGACAUAAAGCAGUAAUAUCACAGUGCCAUGAGAAGAAUGUUGAACAAAUAGAGAAGGAUCAGCAAGAGAAGCCUGGAAUCCCAAACUAGGCAGGAAACUGGUAAAUCUGUCAUUCCAGGCACGAGGAGCCUGUUUUAACCCAUAGAGGGACUUGCAGAGUCUGCAAACAAAGUCAGGAUGAACCUUACUUGUAAAGCCUUGAGGCUGAGCCAUAUACACCUCCUCCUGAAGAGUUCCAUGCAAAAAUGCAUUUUUAACAUCAAGUUGUUUUAUCGUCCAAUGAAACUGAGCAGCAAGAGCCAGCACCAGGUGAACAGUAGUUGGUUUAACUACAGGGCUAAAUGUUUCAUUAUAAUCAACCCCCUCUUCCUGACUGAAGCCCUUGGCAACAAGGCGGGCCUUAUGCCUAGCAAUAGAGCCAUCUGCAUUUUUCUUGAUACGAUAAAUCCGUUUACAGCCAACAAGGUUCUUGGCAUGUGGCAGGGGAACCAAAUCCCAGGUACCCUGAGCAUGAAGAGCAUUAAUUUCUUCUUGCAUAGCAGACUGCCAGGCAGCAUGUGGGAGGCAAUCUUGAACGUACUGGCUCAAUUGAAGAAAAUCAUCAGACUGAACAGUAGUUGAGUAAGCUUUUCUUUUGGAGAUGCCAUUCUUGGACCUAGUUGUCAUGGGAUGAACAUUUAUAGGGGACAGAGUAAGGUGACACAAAGAUCCUCAGGAUGAAAAUCAGGAUCAUUGGGAGGAGAAGACUGUGUAGCAGAAUCCACUUCUGAUAAGGGUGAAGAAAUGAUUGGAGAAGAUAAUGAGUCCAAAGAGAUAGCAGGGCUCAUUGUGGAUAAGGAAGGAGAGUGCUCAGGCAAAACCGCAUUGUGCAAUGAGAUAGAAGGUGGAACAAGAGGAGGUGAAGGAGAAGGAGGCGAAGCUGAAGAAUUGGACAAGGCAUCCGAUUGAUCAAAUAGAUGGCAGUAGCACAUGCAUGGAACCAAAACUUUGAAGGGAGAUGAGCAGUUUGCAGUAAGGUGAUUGCUGUCUCGAGAAUGUGACGAUGCUUUCUUUCAGCAAGGCCAUUCUGUUCAGGGUGUAAGGACAAGAAAUAUGAUGAUCAAUUCCUCGAGUGAGGAGAUACUGCUUGAAGGAAUGAUUGAGGUACUCACCACCUCCAUCACUCUGAAAAAUGCGGAAGAUGAGCAGAAAACUGAGUGACCAAGAAAGCAUGAAAUGAAAUGAAGAUGGAAUAUACUUCUCCUUUAUUUUUCAUUGGAAAAAUCCAAGUGAACUGAGUACACGCAUCAAUGAAGCUAACAUAGUAACGAAAACCAUCAAUGGAAACAGUAGGAGAGGACCCCAUACAUCACUAUGAAUAACUUCUAAAGGUGUUGCAGACUUGAGUGCUGGAGAAGGGAAAGGAAGUUUUGUAAACUUGCCUUCUAAGCAGGAAAUACAGAUGGAUUUAGAAUGAUCUGCAGUGAAGGGAAUUUUGGACUGAUGUAAAAGAGCUGAAGUGAUUUUGUUAGAAGUGGGCAAACCGUUUGUGCCAGAGACUUGUAUGUACUGGAUGACCAAGAUAGCAGAAUUGAUUUCUUUGAAAUGAAGAAGGGGCUGUGAUAGGCGAGAUUGUGGAAUGGAUACAGGGAUAGGGUAUAAACCAUCUUUACACCUCCCCCGUGAAGAACCCUCCCUGUAAGUUUGUCCUGAAUGCAAAAACCAAAUGCAUCACAAAUAAAACGACAAUUGUUGUCCUGACAUAACCUACGAAGUGAUAGCAAGUGUUGUGAUAGCUUAGGCACAUGCAGAACUUGUGGUAAUUGGAGUGAGCACAAUGGAACUUGUAGAAUAGAAGAGCCAACAUUAGAAAUACUCAAACCUGAACCAUCUGCAGUAGUAAUGGCAUCUGAUUGAGUAAGGACUUGCUGAAUUGAGUUGAGAUAGAUCAGAGGUCAUGUGAGUAGUUGCUCCAGUAUCAGCAACCCAACAUUGUGCAGUAGAGUCAGAAGAUGGAAAGGUGGUAUGCAUUGCACUGAGAUUAGGGAAGGUGGGCGGCCUUGGUAAGAAAAUUUCCUCUAUGAUAACACUGGAUAGCUGAGUGACCAAAUUUCCAACAAAUCUGACAUUGGACUGAAGAGGUAGAAGAAGGUGAUUGAUUAUGCCGUUGAUAGCAAUCAGCAGCUACAUCCCUUUUAGUACAGAUUUGUAGAUUGGAAUAGUAAUACCUGAGCCAAGAAUACCAGGACUGGAAGAGGGCAUUUGAUGAGGUCGUGGACCAAUUUGGUAAUGACCACGCUGCGGCCACACCCUCUAAAAUAAGAGCUUCUACUGUUAGAGUGGCCAUUGUUUGUGUACAUGGGAUGUGGACCAUUAAAACCACCCGUAGAGUGAUGAGCAUUUCCAUGAUGACAGUAAAGCCCCCACUUAAUCCAGAGGAUGGGAAGGUCUUCGAAUUUGAAGAGUAUCCCUGAGAGUGUAGAAAAGAAUGAGAAGGAGAAGAUUCUUCAUCAAGAACAAGAGCCUUGCCUUGGAAAGUUUGAUUUUGAGCCAACAUGGCAGAAACAAAGGGAGAUGCAGACUGAGUAUGCUCAAGGAUGGCUUCUUCAGCAAGUAAUUGAGAUCGAAAAUCGUUAAGAGACAAAGGAGUAUCUCUGCCUCUAAUCAUACAUCUGAAAGUAAUGUAGUCAGAUGAUAGGCCAUUGAGAGCUAGGAUUACGAUGUCAUCAUCCUCAAAAGGGACUCCUGCUGCAGAAAGAUGAUCCCUCGAUCCUUAAUUUUUUGCAGAUAAUGAGAAACUGAUUCUGAUCCCUUUUUAAUGUUCUGAAGCUCACUCUUCAUUUGAAAAAUGCGUGCUUUGGUGACUAUAGAGAACCGAUCCUUUAGCUGAAUCCACAUAUCAUUGGCACUUACACAUCCAAUCACAUAAGAAAUUGCAGUAGAGGAAAGAGUGGCAAUGAGCAACUGCAUUAAUGCUCGAUCAUGCAUCUUCCAUACCUGAUAUUCAUCAGAUUCGACUCCCUCAAGAUCAGAGUCUGUAUUAAAUGACUAGGACACUGCUUGGAACCAUCAAUAAAACCUAAAAUACCAUGGCUUUCAAGGAGAAUUUUCAUCUGAAAAUUCCAUGUGAGGUAAUUGGUGUCAUCGAGCUUAACUGCUACAGCAGUAGCAACUGUAGAAAGUAAGGAAGUUAUGGGAGAUUGGAUGAUCUGGAGUUGAGAAGAUGUUACCAUUUUGUUUUUAGAAUUUAGAAACGAAGAAUCACUGAAAGGAGUUGUUCUUGUUCUUUGAUGAGAGAAGAGAGAAAUGAAGUCGGUGUAAGAUGUGCGGAAGCAGAGGAUUAAGAACUACUGCUCUGAUACCAUGUAAAGAUUGCAGAAAUGAAAGAAAGUUUAAGAAGAGAAAUGAGAAAUGCAGAAAGGGACAGAGUGAUUGACGAAGAAUAUUUCAAACACUGUAUUUCUUAGUUGUUUUGUUAUCUCAUUGGAGAUGUAUUUAUAGAUCUAUAGACGUAAGAUAGCUUCUUUCUUCAAUGCUAACAACUUGUAUAACGGUAUUGCUAACCGUUUCUAACUGCCUAACAUAUUUAACUACUUAACAGAAUAUUAACCACUUCAUUGCAUGAUCUCUUGACAUGUGGUAGCAUCUUGAUCGUUGAUAUCUUUACAGUGUCUAAGAGGGUGGACUGUUUGAUUUUACUGUUUUUUGGUCCCAUCCAUAUUAAAUAUGUUUGUGUUUCUAGAUAUGGGAUCAUUAAUGAUAACUAUGAAUUAUUACCCGUUCAUUUGUGGUAUAAUUAAUUCCUAUAUAUAUCAGUAAUUUCCUAACUCCAUUAAUAGUUAAAUUUGAGGUCAUUAUUUUCUCCCAUUUCCACGUUUAUCCAAAUAUUGUUGCACUUUGUUUCCAAGUGACGUAUAAUUUCCAAGUUCCAAUCCAAUUGUCAAUACAUUGAAAGAAAUUUAUUUAAAGAAUCAAGGGGAUUGUGAAAAACAGCAACAUUAUUGUUCAGUCUCCAAAAUGUUUCUUCGCAUAAUUUGAUUUCUCCAAUUAUUUGGAGAAACAGUUUCCCUUCUUAGUCAAGGCACUAAGUAAAUACAAGCUGAAUUCUGGAAUGACAAUAUUCCAUGGCUUUCUAAUUGUUUCUUAGCACAAUUAUUUGUCCAGUCUCCAAAAUGUUCUGUUUGUGUGCCUAUGUAUGCGGAUGCGUGAGUUUGAACGGACACAUGCUUUUUAGUUUUUCCCCUUCUAAGCCAGCAGUGGAGAACAGUAGCUUUGAUUGUGAAGGCACGACGAAAAGCCAAGGAGAAAACGAGCAAGGCCACUAUAAUAUAUGUAUAAUACUAUAAUAUGUGUAUGUUUACCACUCUCCAUAGAGACUGUGUUCAGUAAUGAACAAUUUGUAACUUGUUUUUGUAGGCAUGGACCAAUGCAGAGGAGUGCAAGGCCACACAUGAAAUAAUUACUCUUCAAUACAUUUAAGACCUCACAAUUCUUCUUCCCCCUCUCAGUGCAGUAUAUUUCCAGUUAUGUAUUGCUGGAAACUGAAACGAUAACUUUGUAGUUGGAAUGCUUAGUUCAAAUCAUUGGGAUAUUUUCUCCUUUGCAGAAUGGUUACUGUUUGUGUUGUGGUCUGAAGUUACAGUUGCUAUUUACUGUCUGGAACAUGCACUCAGCAUAGAUACAGUAUGUACUGCUGCGGGAUUCUACCGUACAUCUACUAGUUACAGCACUUUCACCACUCCUGGGAGCAAGAAUCUGUCUAACAUGCUUACUUGAAGAAUUUACUCAGUCUUGGGGUAAUAGUUAAUGCUUCUAUUUGCUUUUCUCAUGGUAAAAAACCUAGACCAUCCUUUUAUUUUCAUGUUGAGCUGAAACAUUAAUCAUAUUUUCAAAUUGGUGGAGGACUUGAGUGCACAACUUGCCAACUUGGUGUUUAGAUUUUCGCCAUAACACUGUUUAGCCUUGCCCAUGAGGUCUUUUUUCAAAGUUCAAAUAACGAAUUAGAAGCUGCGGAUCCUGAAAAUGUCAUGGUAGGGUUUUUAUUGAUUGCAUUGAGGAAACAAAACAAGUACAAUUCUCAGGCAAAACUGGAGAAAAAAGAUUGUUUUUUCUUGUUUUGAUAAUGGUUGUGAACUUAUUAAAAGCGUAGUUGUUAAAUGUAGUCUAACUUGAACACUUAAAAUUUGAAGUCAACUUGGAUCGGAUUUUAAAUUAAACUAUAGAAAGGUAUUCACCUGUUUGAGUCAACUUUAAAGAUUUGUUUUUAAAACAAAACAAUUUAUUUUAAUAAAAAUAAUUGAUUUUAAUUUAUUCGAUAAUUUGGUAUGAGCCGGUAUGACAAAUAUGACUAAAAGCUUGGAUUUAGAUUUAGCUGGCCAUGGUCGUGGUAUUUUUUCUAAUGCAAGGAAAGUGCAAGAAGUACAAGCGUAGCAAAGUUGUUUGAUACGGGAAUGCAUCUUGAAAAUGGCAUCUGGCCAAGUCUUUGCACAAGAAAGGUUACACAGGCAAUUCGUUGACAAUGGUGCCUCUUUGUCCUUUUUUCUUUGAUUAGAACUUCCAUGACGCGGUAACUUCCAUGAUGCGGUACAUUUCUUAAAUAUAUCUGCCCCCUAGAGGACAAGGACUGGUUGAAAAAUGCAGUUGGCAAUUGAGAAGUCUUCGUAUUGGAAGGUUUCAAUGAGCUUUUUUCUUGCUGAUAAUGAUUUAUUAGCCAAUAAAUUUAGGUUCAUUUAGCAUGAGUUUUUAUGUUGACUGAAAACUCUGGACUUUUCCCUUGUCAUGGACCAUUUGUGUGCUUAAAUAUGUUACUUUUUUUGGUACCAGUGAGUUAAAAAAAAUUUCCAGGAAUGGCUUCUUCUAGUUUUGAUUUUAUAUUCCUAGUAGUAAUGUUACUGUUACCAUUCAUGGCUGCUGCUCAAACUAACGGAACAGUACCUGUGGGAGCAUCCAUCACUGCAACUGAUGAUUCUCCUUCAUGGCUUUCAGCUUCUGGUGAAUUUGCAUUCGGGUUUCGCCAGCUGGAGAACAAGGACUAUUUCUUGUUGUCCAUUUGGUAUGAAAAGAUUCCUGAGAAGACCGUAGUUUGGUAUGCAAUUGGAGAGGAUCCUACAGAUGAUCCUGCUGUACCAAGGGGAUCGAAGGUGGAGCUGACUGAUGAUCGUGGGCUGUUGCUUGCUGAUCCUCAAGGCAAUCUAAUAUGGACAUCUCGUAUCCUUCUAGGUGCAGUUUCGUCAGGUGUUAUGAAUGACACUGGCAACUUCGUGCUUCAAAACAGAAAUUCUGACAGGUUGUGGGAGAGUUUCAGCAAUCCCACUGAUACAUUGUUGCCUACUCAGAUUAUGGAGGCUGGACGGGUGGUUUUCUUCUCGGAGGACGGAGACCAACUUUUCGCUGGGGAGAUUCCAGCUCCGUUUGCUUGAUAAUGGAAAUCUUGUGCUGAAUUCCAUGAACUCGCCAACCAAAUUUGCUUACGACGAGUACUAUAGAAGUGGAACUUCUUUUUUUGUUUGGAAUAAGUCGAUAUAUUGAAAGGGCUAACCAGAAGGUAGCCAAAAACAAGAUACAUGAAAAAAAAAAAAAAAAAGAAUCACAAUAACAAAAAACAAACAUAAAAAGAAAGGAAAAGAAAGUCAACAGAUACAUAACCGAAAAAGGAUAUUAGGAAUGAAGAAGUUGAUACGCCAUGCUAAAAGCCUUUAUUUGGUGUUAGACCAAUCUAUAAUACCUUCAGGACCCAUAAUUAAAGUAGUGUCAGUAGCCAAGUGGAACUUCUGAUGCUUCAAAUUCAUCAAAUUCUGGUUAUCGAUUGAUCUUCAAUGAGUCAGGCUACAUGUACAUAUUGAGAAGAAAUGGGCUGAGAGAGGAUCUCACAAAAACAGCACUUCCUACUACAGGCUUCUACCGUAGGGCAACUCUCAAUUUUGAUGGUGUUUUCACUCAAUAUUCAUACCCGAAAACAUCCUCUUCUAUUAGAAGCUGGUCACCAGUCAGGUCUGAACCAGAAAAUAUAUGCAAGUUUAAUUCAGUUUGGGGUAGUGGAGCGUGUGGAUACAACAGCAUCUGCAGCCUAAGUGUUGAUCGAAGGCCCAAUUGUACUUGUCCACAAGAAUUUUCUUUGCUUGAUCAGAAUGACAAGCAUGGAAGCUGCGUGCCAAAUUUCGAAAUAAGCUGCAAAGAUGAUGGAAAAAAUUCCUCAGAAGAUCUGUAUGAUUUUGUUGAGCUAAGAUAUGUUGAUUAUCCAUCAGGUGAUGCAGAACAUUUACAACCUCAAAAUGAAGACCAGUGCAGAAAAGCUUGCUUGAAUGACUGUCUGUGUGGGGCUGUCAUCUUUUUAGGCAACAGCUGCUGGAAGAAGAAGUUACCACUUUCGAAUGGAAAAGUUGACAGUGGUUUUAACGGGAAGACUUUCAUCAAAUUUAAGAAAGGUGAUAUCCCUCCCGGGAAUCCUGGUCUUCAGAUUCCUGAAACGAAGACGGAAAGGGACAUUAAGGUCAUCACAGGAAUAGUGCUCUUGGUUAGCUCUGUAUUUGUCAACUUUAUAUUGAUCAGUACAUUAUGUUUCUGUUCUUCCUUCAUUUACCGCAACAAAGUAGCAAAUGUUCGAGAAGAAAACAAUGUGGAGUCAAACUUGCGUUCAUUUACAUACAAAGAGCUCACAGAAGCUACAGAAGGCUUCCAGGAUGAACUGGGGAGAGGAGCUUUUGGUGGUGUUUACAAAGGUGCGAUAAAAACAGGUUUUACUAAUUUUAUUGCUGUGAAGAAGUUAGAUGGCGUGGUUGAACAUGGUGAGAAGGAAUUCAAAACCGAAGUGAACGUGAUCAGUCAGACGCAUCACAAGAAUUUGGUCCGAUUGUUAGGAUUUUGUGACGGGGCAGCAUCGUUUGUUGGUGUAUGAGUUCUUGAGUAAUGGCACUCUAGCCGAUUUUCUUUUUGAAGCUUAAGGCCUAGUUGGAAGCAAAGAACUCAGAUUGCCUUCGGCAUUGCAAGAGGACUCUUGUACCUACACGAAGAAUGUAGCACCCAAAUCAUUCACUGUGACAUAAAGCCGCAGAACAUUCUUAUUGAUGACUACUACAAUGCUCGGAUAUCAGAUUUUGGAUUGGCAAAACUUUUGGCGAUUAAUCAGAGCCAAACCAAAACUGCCAUCCGAGGAACAAAAGGAUAUGUUGCUCCUGAAUGGUUCAGGAACACACCAGUCACUGUGAAGGUUGAUGUCUAUAGCUUUGGUGUCUUGCUGCUAGAGAUCAUCUGCUGUCGGAGAAGUGUAGAUCUAGAGAUCAGUGGAACUGGAGCUAUAUUGACCGACUGGGCUUAUGACUGCUAUAGGCAUGGAACGCUUGACGCUUUGAUUGAAGAUGACAUGGACGCCAUGAAUGACGUAUCAACACUAGAGAGGUCUAUGAAGGUUGCAAUUUGGUGCAUUCAAGAGGUGCCAUCUCUUAGACCCACCAUGAGGAAGGUGACACAGAUGCUUGAAGGAGUUGUUGAAGUUCCCGCUCCCCCGAAUCCGUUCCCGUUCAGUGAAAUUAGUAGCUCCUGAACACAACAGUAACUGCCUUAAUUUCAACUAGUUAUGAUUUUUCUGGCUGUGGUUGAAUCCAUACUCUAUCUAAUGAUUCAUCUGUUGCCAGUAUAUUCAUUUCUCAACCAAUUCUUCUUGAUAGAAGUGCAAAACAUUAUAGUUUUCUUCAAGAAGCUUUUCAUCUUGUCCACAGCUGAGUGUUUAUUACAGUAACAUGGAUUUCGUCAAGAUUAUUUCUCAAAUUUUACUGCUCUCUGAUUGUAAAUUUAAAAUGACUUAUCAUUUUUUCAGAAGAGCAUCAUCACGGAUUACUAGAAUUUACAAUCAUUAGUAUGGUUUUCCUCAAGAUUAUUGCUCGAUUUUUACCACUUCCUGAAUGUAAAUCGAGGGCCAUUCCCCUCCUGUUUUCGGAAGAACACAAAGCAUUUUGAAGAAAAUUAUUAUGAAAAUCGUGGGCUGGUGGUUGCUGAUCCUCGAGGCAAAGAGUUUCAGCAAACCUAUGAUACAUUGUUGCCUACUCACACUACGGAGACAACAAAGAAAGAAAUUCGACAGCUAGACGCAUUUUUUUCAAUUAGUUAUCACUAAGGUGUUAAAUCUUCAAGGUAGCAGAUUUUCAAAAUAUAAAAUCUGUCACCAUGUGCACCUCCCUUUAGUUAUAUCCAUGUUGCUGUUUUUCGUUGGCCAGCAAGGAUGCUCUCAUGCAAGUGAGUUGGAGGUAAGAUUGUCAAGAUUCUGUUGAAUGUUUUGUUGACAGAGAGGGCAGUCUUGCUGGUUGCAUGCGAAUACACAACACACAAGAGAACCCACUGUCAGGGUAAUUUUUCGCUCUCGAAUAAACCGUGCGGCAGGCUACUCUCCUAGACUCAGCCUUCCUCACCAAUCCCUUCGUGUUUGCCUAGUAACUAAGCAAGGAAUACACAAGUAGAAUAAGAUAAUCAAAAUGCACAACAAGCUUUACAGGAACUCUUUCCCAACCUUUAUUAAUCUCGUACACAAAGGAAACUAUAUACAAAUUCGUAUGUGUGCUAUGCACAAAGAUUGCAUGCUACACCAAGCUAUCUCUAACUCGUACUCUACAUGUUCUUACAUGCCCCUACAUGCUGAACAUGCCCCAUGCAUGCCUCCUAUCAACUAAGAGCUGCAAAAAGUAUUUAUAGACAAGCAUUUACAAGGCACAACUCCCAUUCCUACUUUUAAGGAAGUAGUGAGACACUAUCUCACCUAUGUUCAUCUAUGAACAUAAUGGCUCCAUUAUCUUCCAAGUAGUGGGUAGUUUUCCCCCAUGAUCUCCCAUGAUCUUAGUGGGUUGAGAGCAACCCCUGGUUAGCCCCCAUCAUCCCAUGAUCUUGGAUAUCCAUAACUGCCACUAACUCACAUUCUGCACGCCCACCUAGCAGCCCCAAUUGCCAGUUCUUGUUGUGUCAUCUGUUGAGUUUCUCACAUGCCUUGGAUAGUCUUUUGUCCAAGUUUAAAAUCGUGCCAAGUCAAACCAAUGACUUGCACAAGCUGUUGCGCGCUGCCGAAUUUGCAUUUAAGUGCAUGUUGCUAAUUUCUGCGCUGCCAAACUUGCAUCUGAGUGCAGGAUGCCACUGUCUGUGCUGCUAAAUUUCGUGAGAGCCCCAGUUCUCGCCAGCCUAUCUCCCUGACAAGUUUUCUUGCCUGGCCUAGAACAUUCUAGCAUCCAGUCCAUGUUCGUCAAUAAUCUGCGCUGCCCAAUUUUCCUUUGACGAAUCUACAACUGCACAAAUUUGCGUUGCCGAUUUAUCUCACUAUUGGCAUGGCUGCCAGCACCCUUAGGCAUUGUUUUGGACAGCCUGCUGAAGUGUGCACCUUGUGCACAUUUAACACUGUUACACCACCUCUUUUUAUUUUUUAAUGCUCGAGCCUGCGGUCCCAUUUUAAUUCUAUGCCAGGAUUAACGAAACUAUAGAGAAAUUAAUUAAAAAAACUUUAAUAUAUUCUGAAAAGUCUAUGAAUUCAAUAAUAUAUUAAAAAAAUAACACAUCAACUACUUAUAUAAAGGUAAAAAUAAACCUAACAAAAAAAAAAAAACUAAAGCUAAGUAGAAAAAAUAAUUGACAUGAAAUUAACUAGAAAAAAAAUUAAAAUAAUACCUUCUAGGUUUAAUUUGAAGAAUUUCUCAUUCUUGGUUAAUUACAUCUAGCCGACCCCCAUAAAAUUAAUCUAAUAAAAAAAAAUUCAGGCACAUUGAAUCUAAAAUUAUCAUUGUUUUUUUUGUUUUUUUAUCAAAUUACAAAUUUAAAACAUACAAGCUUUUUAUAAGGAUUUACCCUGUCUAUCGAAUCUAUAAACAUAAUAGCAAUAUAUUCCAUGCGAUGAACAUUCAGAAGAAGACAUUUUUGUUUUGAAGUUUUGUAUUAGAUUUAAAGUAGAGAUACUAAUAUAGUGAAAAAAUCCAGUGACUCUCUUGUGAUGAUAUAUUUGCCUUUUUUCUCUCCAUUUUUUUUAAAGAAUAAAAAAUCAUAAACAUUAUUGUUUUCGUCAAGAAGAGCGGUGCGCCUUGCCACUGCUUGGAAUUGGCUGUGCCAGGUCAAGUUAGUACUUUGGUAUACAAAAAGAAGAUUGAGUACUUGAUUUCCAUUGAUUUUUUUAUUACAUCAAAUUAUUAUUACUAAAUAUGUUUUUUAUUACUAAAUGUUUCUAGUCAAAGAGAGUGAUUCAGGAUGGCUUGGAAGCGAACAGAUGUCAUGCAUCACAUGCAAGUCUUUGUCUGGUUGUGAAGACUUGAUAAAGGGCAGGGCCCAUUUUGCAAUUUUUAAGUCUUUGGAUCCAUUCAUUUAUUGCCCUGGUCCCAAGUCUCUGUUGAAUAAAUGACUUCCACCGUUUCAAACACCAAUGCUUAUGUGGUUCUUGUUCAAUAUUCUACCUUAUCUUCAUCGAAAUUUACCAUUUCAAUAACAUGGACUUGGUCCACCAUAUGUACCGUUGCCUCCUUGUAAGGGCAAAGACUUCUGGAAUGCAGCUGUUGGGAUUUGAAAAGUCUUUGUGUCCAAACCUUUAAUGAAAUUUGUAGCCUGGAAGCAAGAAAAUUGGUUUCCUAAUACUUUAGUUUGACUUGAAAACUCUGGCUUGCCCUUGUGAUGGACCAUUUUUGUGCUUAAAUAUGUUCUUUAAUCCUUUGUUACAAGUAGGCGAGUUCAAAGAUCCUAGGAAUGGCUACUGCUAUUUUUACUUUGAUGUUCCUAGUAACGAUGGUACUGUUACAGCUCAUGGCUGUUGCUCAAACUAAUGGAACUAUGCCUGUGGGUGCAUUUAUCACUGCGACUGAUGAUGCUCCUUCAUGGCUUUCUUCCUCUGGAGAAUUUGCUUUUGGAUUUCAGCCCUUGGAAUACAAGGAUCAUUUCUUGCUGUCUAUUUGGUAUGCCAAGAUUCCUGAGAAGACCAUAGUUUGGUAUGCAAAUGGAGAUAAUCCUGCACCAAGGGAGUCUAAGGUCGAGCUGACGGGUGAUCGUGGGCUGGUGCUUACUGAUCCUCAAGGCAACCUAAUAUGGUCAUCUGGUAUCCUUCUAGGUACAGUUUCGUCAGGUGUUAUGAAUGACACUGGCAACUUCGUGCUUCAAAAUAGCAAUUCUUCCACGUUGUGGGAGAGUUUCAGCAAUCCCACUGAUACAUUGUUGCCUACUCAGAUUAUGGAGGUUGGAGGGGUGGUUUCUUCUCGAAGGACGGAGACCAACUUUUCGCUGGGGAGAUUCCAGCUCCGCUUGCUUGAUAAUGGAAAUCUUGUGCUGAAUUACAUGAAUUUGCCAACCAAAUUUGUUUACGACGAAUACUAUAGUAGUGAAACUUCUGAUGCUUCAAAUUCAUCAAAUUCUGGUUAUCGAUUGAUCUUCAAUGAGUCAGGCUACAUGUACAUAUUGAGAAGAAAUGGGCUGAUAGAGGAUCUCACAAAAACAGCAAUUCCUACUACAGACUUCUAUCAUAGGGCAACAAUCAAUUUUGAUGGCGUUUUCACUCAAUAUUUUUACCCAAAAGCAUCUAGCGGUAACAGAAGCUGGUCCUCAGUCUGGUCCAAACCAGAUAAUAUAUGUGUCAAUAUGGGAGCGGGCUUGGGUAGUGGAGCAUGUGGAUAUAACAGCAUCUGCAAUCUAAAAGCUGAUAAAAGGCCAGAAUGUAAUUGUCCACAAGGUUUUUCUUUGCUUGAUCAGAAUAACAAGUAUGGAAGCUGCAUAUCAGAUUUCGAACUAAGCUGCAGAGAUGGACUCAAUUCCACCGAAGAUCAGUAUGAUUUUGUGGAGCUAAUAAAUGUUGAUUGGCCAACAUCUGAUUAUGAGAGGUACAAACCUAUUAACGAAGAUGAGUGCCGAAAGUCUUGCUUGGAUGAUUGUCUAUGUUCUGUUGCCAUUUUUAGAGAUGGCUGCUGGAAGAGAAGUUACCACUCUCGAAUGGAAGAUUUGACAUUGGUAUGAAUGGGAAGGCUUUCCUCAAAUUUCCGAAAGGUUAUGUUCCUCGGAUAGGCCUCCUCCUCAGCUUCCUGGAGAGAAAAAGAAACCAGACAUUAAGUUCAUCACUGGAUCAGUAGUCCUUGGUACCUCUGUAUUUGUCAACUUUAUAUUGGUCGGUGCUUUCUGUCUCACUUCUUCCUUCAUUUAUCGCAAGAAAACUGAAAAAGUUCAGGAAGGUGGAAGUGGUUUGGAGACAAACUUGCGGUAUUUUACAUACAAAGAGCUCGCUGAAGCGACAAAUGACUUCAAAGACGAGGUGGGAAGAGGAGGUUUUGGUGCUGUUUACAAGGGGACAAUACAGGCAGGCUCUACUAGGGUUGUUGCUGUCAAGAAGUUAGAUAAAGUGGUUCAGGAUGGGGAAAAAGAAUUUAAAACAGAAGUACAAGUGAUUGGCCAGACGCAUCACAAGAAUUUGGUCCGGUUGCUAGGAUUUUGUGACGAAGGGCAGAAUCGAUUGUUGGUGUACGAGUUCUUGAGUAAUGGCACUCUAGCAAACUUCCUUUUCGGAUGCUCUAAGCCUAAUUGGAAGCAAAGGACCCAAAUUGCCUUUGGCAUUGCAAGAGGACUCUUGUACCUGCAUGAAGAAUGUGGCACCCAAAUCAUUCACUGUGAUAUAAAGCCUCAGAACAUACUUCUUGACAAUUAUUACAAUGCUCGAAUAUCUGAUUUUGGACUGGCAAAGCUUUUGGUGAUGGAUCAGAGCAAAACUCAAACUGCUAUUAGAGGAACAAAAGGAUAUGUUGCACCUGAAUGGUUCAGGAACAGACCAAUCACUGUGAAGGUUGAUGUGUAUAGCUACGGUGUCAUGCUGAUAGAGAUCAUCUGUUGUAGAAGAAAUGUAGAUUUGGAGAUCGGUGAAGCAGAGAAUCCAGUACUGACUGAUUGGGCUUAUGACUGCUAUAUGAACGGAAGUUUGGAUGUUUUAAUUGGAGAUGACAUGGAGGCCAAGAAUGACAUAUCCACACUAGAGCGUCUCUUGAAGGUCGGGAUUUGGUGUAUUCAAGAGGAUCCAUCUCUCAGACCCACCAUGAGGAAGGUCACACAGAUGCUUGAAGGAGUUGUUGAAGUUCCUGCUGCUCCAAAUCCAUUUCCAUAUAGUACAAUUAGCAAUUACAGUCAGGAAUGAUCUUUAUUUCACUUAGAUAUGAUUUUUCUACAGUUUCUUCCACCAUGAAAUGUAGCUUUAUAAAUUGAAACUCUGUGUUAAAUUUGAAUUAGUUUCCAAGGAAUCAAAAUGUUGUGAUGAAUCCAAAAACUUGGGGUUAGCAUAUUCUUGUUCUUUUAGUUUCCUUGCUUCAGAUAUACCAAUGGAAGUUCAGCGUGCUGUUACUCUCUUAGCAGAGUAAGGGUAGGGAUUAGGUUUAGAGUCCAAUUUGCUCCGUACUACCAUGAGAAUCAAAAUAAGGACCUGUACUUCUUGCCAUGCGAAGUUGGACAAAGCUUUUUACAGCAAAAAGUGAAACAUCAAACACCAUUCCAUUACAUAAUGGGCAUAAUUAAGAAAGUAACAACCAGCAACUUGGUCCCUUGAAUUUCAUGUUGAAUGGUUAGUAUACGGUUGUAAGUGAAGCUGUUGUAGCUAUAGAUAUUCUCAUGAAUCUAUUGGAUGGGCGGUUCUAUCAGGAUAGGAACAGCUGAUAACUAUACAAUGCACUAUACUCUGUAGAACCCAUCAUCAUUACUUCUAUACCAGCAUUUGUCUUAAUAGAAAAGGGACCGAGAACUCCAUGACUCAGACGUCCACUCUGUAGGGACCACAAGGAUUAUAAUUAAGUAGAUUGGCAGGUAACCACUUCCAUUUAUGUAUGGUUGAAAGUCUUGCCUGUUAGAAUCUAUGAAAAUUUGCCUCUGAAGAUAGCUAUUAGACUUGGUCUUUGAAUUUAUUUUUUCGUAACAGAGUCGGUUGCAAGUUUUGCUUAUUAUUCUGUUAUUAGUAGUAAUCCAAUAAUCUCUCAUGUUUUUUUGAGAAUUUAUAGCAUUUUGAAUUUGAUUGUAAGCCUUUAAAUAGGUAUUUUUAAUUUAUAAUAUUUAUUAUCUUUUAGCUUCAACUUUCUCUCUUUCAGAAUUCUAUGCAUUUGUUAUUCAUUUAAACUGCAGAUUUCAAUAGUAUUCAUUUAACUGUAGAUUUAACAGUGGUAUCAGAGCGUAUCCUAUGGGUUGUGGGGCAAGUUUUUUGAGUUCUAAACAUGGUAAGGUUGAAUGCUAAACACAGAGAGGGUAAGUGUAAACACUAGUAAUUUUUUUUGGUCUAUAGAUUUGAUGUCUACCUCAAGCAACUCUGCAUCUGCAAUUCCAGUGUUCAAUGGUAAACAUCAUCAUAUUUGGGCUGUCAAGAUGAGAUUCUAUCUAAGAUCUCAAGGCUUGUGGAAUGUUGUAGUGUCUGAUUCUGAUCCACCACCAUUGACAGCAAACCCACAAUUGCUUAGAUGAAGGCACAUGAAGAAGAAAAACUCAAGAAGGACAAAGCCAUCACCUGCCUACAUUCAGGACUUGCAUAUUGAUGUAACCAUAUUAUUUGAUAGUUUCACCCACAUCUACCUAAUGUUUUGUCCAUGUUUUAUAUGUAAAAUUCCUUGAUAUUCUUUGUUUUAUGUUUUGAAGGCACUUUUGGAUGAAAGAUGCAAAAAGGAGUAAAUUGGAGGUAAUUGGCAGAUCGAAAUGAAGUGAUUCCAGUGGCAUUAAAAAGAUAACAUCCAUACCUUUCUGGAAAUGUAAUGCAAGAAAAAUAAAAAGAGAAAGAUCAUGGCAAUCACAUCCUUCAAAGUCAAAUCUCGCAGUCUGCCAAUGUUGACCGUUUCCCAUUCAAAUCAAGAGAAGCAGAGAGCUCUUGCACCAGGGGAAGGAACAUUCGUUGCUGUGAGAGGCUGGUGGGGUGAAAGUCGAACAGGGACUUUGCUGUAGUGACAAGGUGCCCUCUUCCUCCUGCAUUUACCCUUCCCUUCGCCUGCAAGCUUCACUGAUGCUUCUCAAUAGCCCAGUCGUCCUGCACCAGCUACAACAACGACGUCAUCUUCAGCACCGUGGGCAGCCACAAGACCCAUCACCGACCAGCAACAUGAAAACAGGGACCAGACCACCCCAUCAGUAACUCUCCUUCUCCACAGACCGAGCUCGAGACAACACCUCUCCCCCAGUACUAGCAGCAAUGGUGAGUCUCUCUCAAACCGUGACCAACAGCUCCCCUCCCUUUUCAUAAUAGCGAGAAGCAACAGAGACCAGAAAACUGAGAGAGAAUUAAAAAGGAGAAGAAGAACCAGAAAUACAGAGAGGAGAGUAUCGGAUGGCCUUCCAUCGAAAUUGUCUCCCUCCCUGAGCAUCAGCCCCUCUCUGCACCAGGUAAGCUCUUCUUACAUUGCAUGCACAAUUCCCUUCGUUACUAUGCAGGUGAAAAUUAAUUCACCAAUCACUUUUGAUGUAUGUGUGCCUCCUGCUGGACAACCGCUGGCUGGCUGGAUCCAGCACAGCCAGUACGGCUGGUUUAGAUCCAACUCAGAAAUAAAAAGGGUUUGGAGUGAUGGAAAUAACUUAAACUUAAACAAUACAGUUUACGUAGAGAAAAAGAAAUAGAUUUAAGAUGGCAGAGUUGAGUAGAAAGAUCAAUAUAUUUCAUUAACUUUAAAUGCCUAUAUAUAGGCUUUACAUAGAACUUGAAAUGCAUCAAAACUCUCAACAAACUUGAGAGAUUAUUGGAAUUGAAAUCCUAGACUAAGCAGAAUGUUUCUGCUGUAAAUCCUGAAGGAAAUAAACUGUUACAGAAUUCAAAUAUUAAAAACUGAUCUUAAUUCUAUCUAUCUAAAGGCAAAAUCUCAUAAUUCUAACACUCCUCCUUGAGACUUGCCUUAGACAAACCAAGUUUCAUCCUUAGAAAUUCCAGUCUUGAUCUAGGAAGAGCUUUAGUCAUUAUAUCAGCAAGUUGAACAUCUGUUGGACAGUAGUGUAGCUUUAUAAGCUUGUUCUUCUCAGCUUCUCUUAUAGAAUGAAACUUCACAUUGAUAUGCUUGGUUCUGCCAUGUUGAACCGGAUUUAGAGCAAUAGCAAUGGCAGAUUUAUUGUCACAAUGAAGCUCAGUUUGUGAGCUUUGUUCUUGACCCAAAUCAACAAGCAAUUUGUACAACCAAAUUGCUUGAUUUGCAGCAGCUGCCAUGGAGAUAUACUCUGCUUCAGCUGUUGAUUGUGUCACCACCUCCUGCUUCUUUGCAUUCCAACAGAUUGCACCUGAACCAAUAUUAAAAACAUACCCAGAGGUGCUCUUCAUGUCAUCAACACUCCCUUCCCAGUAACUAUCUGCAUAACCAAUUAGUUUUACUCCUCCUGUCUUCAAGUACCAAAUGCCAAGAUCAGUCGUUCCUCUGAUGUACUUCAGCACCCUUUUAGCAAUUCCCAUGUGAAUAUUGCUAGGUGAGCUCAUGAACCUUGACAGCAAACCAGCUGGAAACAUUAAGUCAGGUCUAGUUGUUGUCAAGUAUAGUAAACUGCCCACUAGGCUUUUAAAUCCAGAGGGAUCUUCAAGUUUCUCACCAUCAUUCUUUGAAACUUUCUCAUUUUGUGCUAAAGGAGUUGCUACUUCUUUGCAUGACUCAAGCUUGAACUUCUUGAGUAUAUCAACAGCAUACUUCCUUUGUGAAACAAAAAUACCCGAACUACAUUGAUGUAUUUCCAUUCCAAGAAAGUAGUUCAUAAUGCCAAGAUCAGACAUUUCAAAAACAUCUUGUUUCAGAUAUAGGGUAGCUUCAUUUUCACUUCUUUUGAAUCCUAGUUGAAUCAAAUGAGUAUCAAUUCUGAUGUACCAAGCCCUUGGUGCUUGCUUCAAACUAUAAAGAGCUUUGUGUAGCUUGUCAACUUUGUGUUCAUCACCAGCAACAACAAAGCCUUCUGGUUGCUGAACAUAAAUUUCUUCAAGUAGUAUUCCAUUUAGAAAAGCAGACUUCACAUCUAAAUGAUAUACUUUCCAUCCUUUUUGUCCCGCAAGAGCAAGUAGGAGUCUUAUAGUGUCAUGCCUAGCUACUGGUGCGAAAGUAUCUCCAUAAUCCACUCCAGCAACUUGAGCAAAGCCUUUAACAACCAAUCUAGCCUUGUGUUUGAAGAUUGAACCAUCUGGAUUGAAUUUGGUUCUGAAAACCCACUUCACUCCAAUUUCCUUUUUAUCUCCAGGAAGUUCAGUCAAUCUCCAAGUCCCAUUUCUUUCAAUGGAAUCAAUUUCUGAUUUCAUUGCUUCAAUCCAAGCUGGAUCUCCUGCAGCUUCAGAGUAAUUUGUAGGCUCAGCAUGUACAAGGUUACAUCUUUCAUACACAUCAGACAAUUGUCUAACCUUAAGUACUGUUGUAUCUGAAGUUGCUUCAAUGGCUUGUUGAUCUUCAACAUCAAUACUUUGUACUGGUGAUUCAAGGCAGCUGUGAUAGUCUGUUGAACUCUUUUAAGUCCCAAUUCCAGCAGGCAUUUUCAUCAAAUUGCACAUCUCUGCUGACCUGAAUUUUGGCUGAAUUCAGAUUGAAAACUCUGUAACCUUUUGAUUCUGUUGCAUAUCCCACAAGAAUCCCUUUUUCUGCUCUAGCAUCCAGUUUUCCUCUUUUGGCAGAUGGAACAUGAAAAUAGCACAAUGAUCCAAACACUUUUAAAUGUUUGGCAGUAGGCCGGACUCCAGACCAUGCCUCCAAUGGUGUUUUGUUUUGAACAGACUUGGUUGGAAGUCUAUUAAGCAAGUAUACUGAAGUAUUUACUGCUUCAGCCCAUAGAAACCUUGGCAACUUCUUUUCAAACAAUAUACAUCUGGACAUCUCCAUCACUGUUCUAUUCUUCCUUUCAGAAACUCCAUUCUGCUGUGGAGAGUAAGGAGUCGUCAGCUGGUGCACAAUUCCAGCUUCUGAACAAAAGGCAUUAAACUCCUUCGAAAUAUACUCUCCACCAUUAUCAGUUCUCAACACUUUGAUCUUCUGACCACUUUGAGUUUCAGCCAUGCUUUUGAAGUUUUUGAACAUAGAUAAAGCUUGUGACUUGUUUUUCAGAAAAUAAACCCAAGUCAUUCUGCUGUAGUCAUCAAUGAAUAAUAUAAAAUACACAUUAUUAUUCAAAGAAGCUGUGCUCAUAGGUCCACAUAUGUCUGAGUGAACCAGCUCCAGCAUGUGUGUUGCCCUUUUGGAUAUACCUUUAGGAAAUGGUUGUCGAUGCUGCUUUCCCAGUUCACAACUUCCACAUGUAUGAGCAGUAACAUGUAUUGCAGACAUGUUUUCUACCAUUCCAGUAUCAUACAGCAACUUUAAUGAAUUAAGAUUGUAAUGACCGAAUCUUUUGUGCCAAAGAAUGCUUUCAUCAAUCUUUGCACUAAACACAUGUCCAUUAACAGCAUCAAGCUUCAAAUAGAAGCUAUUACCAUCCAUUUUGAUUUUUGCUAUCUCUGAAUUAUGUGUAUCAGUGAUAAAGCAAAAUUUCUCUUUAAAAGAGACUUCAUAACCAUUCUUGAGCAUUUGUGCAACACUAAGGAGAUUCUGAUCUAGUUCAGGAAUGUAAAGAACAUUUGUGAUGGUUUUAAUACCUCUAUUUGUGCUGACUGCAACAGUUCCUUUCCCCUUAGCUUGCACAAUAUCUCCAUUUCCCAGCUUAAUCUUCGGUUGAACUGAUUUGUCAAUAGAGGAGAAAAUUGAUAGAAAUUUAGACAUGUGACUUGUGCAGCCACUGUCUAUAAACCAUGUAUUCAGUUCAGAGGUAUUGCUAGCUUGUGUUGCCAUAAACAAAUGCUCCUCCUCAUCUUUGCUUUCUUCAGAAACAUUUGCUUGUUGUUGUAUUUGUUGCUGAGGUUGCUUCUUCUUGAUUCUGCAAUAUUUCUCACUGUGACCGAGAUUAUUACAGAAUAAACAUUGAAGAGAAGGUUUCCCCUUAAACCAGCAAUCUUUCUCAGUAUACUUGAUUUCCUUUUAGCAUACUUGACAGGUUUGAUUCUUGGUAGGAUACCAGCACUCAUUUCCCUGUUGUUUGCUUGGAAAGCCCCUUCAACUGCCUCAUCAUCUCUCAUAUGAACUCUUUGCUCCUGAAUAUGAAGUUUGCUAAUUAACUCAGCAAUAGUCAGACUUUGCAGAUCGCAAGAUUCUUCUAUUGCUGAGAUCUUAGCUUCAAACUUUUGAGGAACAGACAUCAUAAGUUUUUCUACUACCUUAUGAUCUUCAAAUGUGUUUCCAAGAAGCCUCAUUUGAUUUACAACAUCCAUUAAUCUGCCAGAAUAAUCUUUGACAGAUUCAUUGUCUUUCAUCUUCAUCAACUCAAAUUCCCUCUUAAAUGCAAGAAGUUUAACUGCUUUGACUCUGCUGCUGCCUUCAAAUUCAACUUGAAGCUUAUCCCAUACCUGUUUUGGUGUUUCCAGAUUCAUUAUUUUUGUGAAAAUAUGAUCUGCAAGACCAGAAUGAAGACAGGUAAUGGCUUUGUCCUUCUUGAGUUUUUCUUCUUCAUGUGCUUUCAUUUGAGCAAUUGUAGGAUUUGCAUUCAAUGGUGGAGGAUCAGAAUCGGUUGCCACAACAUUCCAUAAGCCAUGAGAUCUUAGAUAAAAUCUCAUUUUGACAGCCCAAAUAUGAUAGAGUUCUCCACUAAACAUUGGAAUUGCAGAUACAAUAUUGUUUGAAGAAGACAUUGACAAAAAACAAAAAGAAAAUAACUCUCAAGUGUUUCACUCACCCUCUCUGUGUUGCCUUACCUUCUCUUAUUGUUAUCACUCAAAAGAAAGAAAAUUUGUUUGCCCCACAGCCCGUAGGAUCUAUAUGCUCUGAUACCACUGAUGGAAAUAACUUAAACUUAAACAAUACAGUUUACAUGAAGAAAAAGAAACAGAUUUAAGAUGGCAGAGUUGAGUAGAAAGAUCAAUAUAUUUCAUUAACUUCAAAUGCCUAUAUAUAGGCUUUACAUAGAACUUGAAAUGCAUCAAAACUCUCAACAAACUUGAGAGAUUAUUGGAAUUGAAAUCCUAGACUAAGCAGAAUGUUUCUGCUGUAAAUCCUGAAGGAAAUAAACUGUUACAGAAUUCAAAUAUUAAAAACUGAUCUUAAUUCUAUCUAUCUAAAGGCAAAAUCUCAUAAUUCUAACAUGGAGACCGGGUUACAUAAAUAAAAAAAAAAAAAAGAGUUUUUGUUUUUUUUUAAGUACAAAAUUUUGCGGAUUUAUUUACUAGCGUCAGAGUCAGGAAUACCGUACUUUUUCGAUUGCGCUAUAUUUACCAACGCUAGAGUUGGAAAUAUUCAGAGGUAAAUAUUCACUGACGCCAGAGUCGGGAAUAUUACAGGAUAACCAUAAGAACAUAACACAAAACAAAACAUUUAGCAAUUUUAGACAAAACCAGCAAUGCAGCCUGCCUCAGGUAGGACGCUAAAAGGGUGAUAGCAUCUUUCCUUUCACAUAACCAGUCCCGGACCAUAGAAUCUUUGUUGACCAAUUAGGGUUCCUAGUGACCAUAAUACUAGGUAACGACUCCUCGAACAAGACAGUUUCCUCCAAAGAACAAGAUGCCAGAUAUCUGUCUUUUUUCCACUUGUGAUUAAUUUUUAAUUGAUCGUCGCGAUGUUCGGAUGUGACAUGGUCUACGAAUACAUGAACAAUGGAUCUUUGGCCAAUUUUCUCUUUGGAGAUUCAAGGCCUAACUGGUACCGAAGAAUGCAAAUUGCUUUCGAUAUAGCCAGAGGGCUCCUUUACCUCCACGAAGAAUGCAGCUCCCAGAUAAUCCAUUGUGAUAUCAAGCCUCAAAAUAUCCUCCUCGACAAAUAUUUUAGUGCAAGGAUUUCUGAUUUCGGACUAGCCAAGCUGUUGAAGACAGACCAAACUAAAACAACUACAGCAAUCAGGGGUACCAAAGGGUAUGUAGCUCUUGAAUGGUUCAAGAACCUGCCUGUCACCACCAAAGUAGAUACCUACAGCUUUGGCAUUCUUUUGCUGGAGCUGGUAUGCUGUAGAAAGAACUUUGAGAUUAAUGCUCUGCAAGAGCAUCAGGUAGUUCUUGCAGACUGGGCAUGUGAUUGCCUUAAAGAAGGAAAGUUAGACCUUUUAGUAGAAGAAGAUGAAGAGGCAACAGAAGACAUGAAAACGGUGGAGAGGUUUGUGAUGGUUGCAAUUUGGUGCAUUCAGGAUGAUCCAUCUUUAAGACCUGGAAUGAAGAAAGUUGUGCAGAUGCUAGAAGGAGCUGUUCAAGUCUCUAUUCCUCCUGAUCUUUCAUCAUUUAUCAGCACAAUCUAAAUCCUUUUUGUACACGUAUAUAUAUCCAGAAACUAAGGUCAAUGAAUGUGACCUAUCUAUCAUGUAUUGAAUAAUCUGUAGUUCCAAUCAUUUCGGACAUGUCUAGAUCAUCAUGUGUUACAACAUGCUCGACAAGACUUUGCAUCCUUUGUUUUUUUCCUUUUCCAUGUUCAAGAGUAACAAGUAGAUUCAAAGAAUUAUUAUUCAAAAUAUGUGCUUAAUAACUCAUAGACUUGGCUGUUGAAGACAGAACAAAUUAAAACAACCAUAGCUAUCAGGGGUACCAAAGGGUAUGAUUCCAUGAAAUCACAAUACUGGGACUUCAAAGAUUAAAGCUGGUAUACAUUAUUCAGGCCUACAGGAUAUGAUUCCAUUUUAGUUGAAAAAAUCAGAAAGAAACAAAGCCUUUGCCGGCUUCCAAACUCAUUUCGGUCAACUACAACACUCAACAUAAGUAGAGAAAGGGUUGUGAGCUUGCUUUGAGCACUGAAAUUUCCUGAACAACAUAAUCUUCACACCAUGGGAUUUUCUCCACCAUAUUGUUUUUUCUUCUUUCUUCUUCUGCUUCUGCCAUCGCUUCCUAAUGUUCGGCAGCUUUUCCGAACUCGGAUCAGUAUGCAUGUCAGCUGAGACCAAGCAACACAGCAUUAUGUUGCUGUGUUUUCUAUAGUUUUAUCUAUUAAUUUUUUUUAAUGUAUUAAAUGGACAAAGAAAGCGUGUUUUCAAGAUAGUCCGGAAAAAAGAAAAAACUGGUUUUAAUUGGCGUAUGAGAUGGUUAAAAAAUAUCUUUUAUUAUCGAGAAAACACAAUUGCAUGCCAAAAUUCAUGUACCGUUUCAAAAUCCUUCUCAAUUAAAUCAGUAUGACAAAAUGUCAAUUUAGUCAAACAUAGAUUUGCUUACGAGUUGGGCCUGUAACUUUGAAUCUUUCAAAUUUUAUCCUAAUCCAAAAACUCAGUAAAAUUUCCUCAAGAAAAUAGAUACAAAACUAACUUGCAGUUCUAUCAGAAUUUAAAAUACAACACUUGGUUUAAGUAACAUUAAUUUUUGCGUUUGAAAUUAUAUUUUAAAAGUACAUUUAGCUUAAAUUCAUGGUUUUCUUAGUAUUUAUUUAUUUAUUUUGAUGUACUUAUGUAAAAAAAAAUUAUUUUAAUAUAUUUUUAAAUAAAAGAUAUUUUUUAAAAACAUUAUGCAUCAUAUUGUUUUAAAAAAUUGUACUACUUUGUAAACCUAAAGUAACUUUCACUCAAUGUUCUAUAAGGUACAAAAAGAAAAAAAUAAAUAGUUGUUUUUUUCAGGUCAUGAUCAAGUAGGCUUUAAGAAAUUUAAAACGAUUUGUUGGUGACGAAUUAUUUUAGACAAAAUACCUGGGUAAAAAGGAAAGAUAUAUCGAAAGAGAAAUAUGGACUGAGAAAUUUUCCAAGCAUCUUUAGUAUCGACAACAAAAAAAGUCAUUGUUAUUCGUGUAUCAACAUAGAAAUUUAGCCAAACUAUAUGAUUUUUUUUUUAUGAGAAAUAUCUGAUUUCAUUGAGCGCCAUAACCUAGCGGUGAGAGAUAAGCCCAAAGAUAUGUUGCUGUGAGCCUGACCAUUGCAAGAAAAUGGCAGCAGCAGAAGAAGAAGGAAGAAAAAACAAUAUGGUAGUUGAAAAUCCAUGAUGUUGUGUGCUUGCUCAGGAGAGCAAUUCAAAUUUGAUGAACCACAGCAGUCACCGGAGUCUCUGGCAACGAGGGAUUUCUCGGCGAGUGGGCUUUCGUCGAGGACAACAGGAGACUGGGAGUCUAAACUUGAGGAUAUGGCAAGUAGGUAGCUACGAGGGGGAAUCAAGAGUACAACUUACGGAAGAUGGUGAGUUGGUUCUAAAUGAUCAAUCAGGCAGACAAAUAUGGAUUCGUCCAGAAUCGGGUGGAAGUGGAACCGCCUAUGCACCCAUGCUUGACACGGGAAACUUCUUGGUAGCAAGCCAAGCUGGUGCCAAUUUGUGGCAGAGUUUUGAUGAACCAACAGAUACACUGUUGCCCUCACAAAAUCUGAAUUUAGGUGCUCAACUAAUUGCUCCCUACCAGGAAAAGAAUUAUUCAGAUGGAAGAUUCAAGUUCAUUCUACAAGCUGACGGGAAUCUCUUACUGUACACAACACGUUAUCCAACAACUACCUCAAAUGUUGCUUAUUGGUCUACCCAAAGUUCUAUAAACAUAUGAAAUUAACUAGAAAAAAAAAUUGAAAUAACAUCUUCAAAUUAAGUUUAAAAUUUUGAAACAUACAAGCCUUUUUCUAAGGAUUGAUCAUGUCUAUCAAAUCUAUAAACAUAAUAUAGCAAUAUAUAUUCCAUGCGAUGAACAUUCAGAACAAGGCAUUUUUGUUUUGAAGUUUUGUAUUAGAUUUGAAGUAGAGAUACAUACUAAUAUAGUGAAAAAAUCCACUGGCUCUCUUGUGAUGAUAUAUUUGCCUUUUUUUCUCUCCAUUUUUUUUUAAAAAUAAAAAAUCAUAAACAUUAUCGUUUUCGUCAAGAAGAGGGGUGCACCUUGCCACUGCUUGGAAUUGGCCGUGCCAGGAAUGUUAGUACUUUGGCGUACAAAAAGAAGAUUGAGUACUUGAUUUCCAUUGAUUUUUAAAAGCUUUUACUAAAUCAAUUCCUCAUUGGGUCCAUUUUGCAAUUUUUAAGUCUUUGGAUCCAUUCAUUUAUUGCCCUGGUCCCAAGUCUCUGUUGAACAAACGACUUCCACCGUUUCAAACACCAAUGCUUAUGUGGUUCAUGUUCAAUAUUCUACCUAAUCUUCAUCGAAAUUUACCAUUUCAAUAAUUUUUUCAAUAACAUGGACUUGGUCCACCAUAUGUACCAUUGCCUCCUUCAAUUAAUGAAAAGUACCAUAUGUACCAUAUGGACCUGGAAUGCAGCUGUUGGGAUUUGAAAAGUCUUUGUGUCCAAACCUUCAAUUAAUGAAAUUUGUAGUCUGGAAGCAAGAAAGUUGGUUUCCUAAUACUUUAGUUUGACUUGAAAAAUUUAUAAUAUAUUAUGAGAGUAAAUCUCAUCUAAUCAUUUAGCGGCCACGAGUUGUAAUCAUUCUUAAUACAACCUAAUGAUUUAAGUUUCUGACCUUAAAUGAUUUUUAAAAUAUAAAAAAUGAGACAAGAAAAGCACAAGCAACAGUUGUAGAAAAGAAGAAUCUUCAUGGCUAAUUGAUGAUUGUGAUGAACUUGAAGAAUCCAUUAUACCUUGUUUCUUUAAACAAAAAAAAAAAAACACAGAGGAAUCGAACUACGGAUUAAAUACUAGUUAUAACGGUAAAUUUUUUAUAUAACUUGUUUGAAUUUUAGAGAUUUUUAAUUAAAAAAAGUUGUAGCAUAAUCUUAGAUCCAAGCAGUUAAAACUAUGUAAUUGGAGUGGUCAAGAGAAAAGGAAGCUUCUUAUUAAUUUCAUUAGUAAUAUUUAUUAUACAAUAAUAUAAAUUAUAUCUUAAAUUAUCAUUAAUAUCUUAAAUGUUUUUAUUAAACUAGUUAUUUGAUAUAAUACCAAAAUUAUAUUAGUUAAAUUAUUAUUUUAAAUUUUUGCUAAUUUCCUUUAGCUUUUAAAUUGAAUUUAUUCUUUAAUAUCUCUUACCAUCAAAUAAGUUAUUUUUCUCGAGUCCUUUUAUUUCUCCGAAAAGGACCAUGAUAUAUAACUUUUUAGAAACCAGUUAUUUAACGAUAUUAAAUAUGAAAACACUUCAUUUUUGCAUUUCUUUCUCCAAGUUCUAGUUGGAUUUUCUCAGAAAGACCAGGGUUUUAGAGAUUUUCAAUGAAGAAAAUUUGUAGCACAUGCAAUCCUAAAUUUGUAGACUUAUUGCUAAUAAUUUCACUUUUUUGAACACCCCUUUCUUCAUGUUAAUAUUGGAAAACUUGACUAUUGAUCAGAAUUACAAUUUUCUAAUGCUUUACUUUUACUUCAUUAAUUUAUUCAUUUCAUACGUACGCGGAUAGUUGGAGACUCAUAUUUUAUUCCAACGCCAAUACCCAGCAUAAAUAGAGAAGAGGGCUUGUGCCCUAAAUCAUCCAAUGUCUUAAAAAACAGUAUCUUCACAUCAAUGAUGGAUUUUCAACUACCAUAUUGUUUUUUCUUCCUUCUUCUUCUGCUGCUGCCAUUUUCUAGCAAUGGUCAGGCUCACAGCAACAUACUUUUGGGCUCAUCUCUCACUGCUGCAACUGAUAACCUUCCUUGGACUUCACCAUCCGGGGAAUUUGCUUUUGGAUUCCAAAAAGUCGGUGAUGCUGGCUACCUACUUGCCAUAUGGUUCAACAAAAUACCCGAAAGAACCAUAGUCUGGUCAGCUAAUAGAAAUGAUCUAGUUCAGGAGGGAUCAAGAGUACAACUUACCAGAGAUGGUGAGUUGGUUCUAAAUGAUCAAUCAGUUUCUGGUGGAAGUGGAGCCGCCUAUGCAGCCAUGCUUGACACGGGAAACUUCGUGGUAGCAAGCCAAGCUGGUGCCAAUUUGUGGCAGAGUUUUGAUAAACCAACAGACACACUGUUGCCCACACAAUAUCUGAAUUUAGGUGCUCAACUAAUUGCUCCCUACCUGGAAAAGAAUUAUUCAGAUGGAAGAUUCACGUUCAUUCUACAAACUGACGGGAAUCUCUUAUUGUACACAACACGUUAUCCAACAACUACAGUA
rnacentral:lncRNA from 1 species